UGGCUCAACAGUUAAGAGCACUGGCUGUUCUUCCAGAGGACCUGGGUUCAAUUCCCAG
rnacentral:tRNA from 1 species